ensembl:lncRNA
AUGUGGAGGAUUUCUUUGCCUAGAGGACUUCUUCAGAUCAUCACCCAAACAUUCAGAGGUGAUGGACGUGAUGUGACCAGAAUUGUAAUGAGACUGAGGAGCGGGGUGUGCAGAGGUGAGCUGUGGAUCAGGCUGUUCUGUAUUCAGUGUGUGAGGAGCAGGUGUCUGCGAGGUCUCCAUCAAAGCAGCGGCCUCAAACACUCUUCCACACGGGGCUUUCUCUGCCAUGUCAUCCAGUGACAGCUCUCCCGUUCCUGCCCCCUCAGACCAUCUCCAGGGCACGGAGGACCAUGACACACCGCAGAGAUCACAUCACCUCCCUACAAACAGCCAGAGCCAAUUAAAAACCUAUGAAACUCUAAUGAACCUCCACCUCUCUCUCUUUCUCUCUGUCUGUCUGUCUCUGUCUAUCUUUCUCCUUUUCUUUCUAUCCUCAGGUUCUUCUUAAAGAGAGUCAGACCCUUUUGUUCGGUGAUGAUUGGCAGGAAUUGAUCUUCUCAAGGUUCAACCCAUCAACUGAAUGACAGCUGCAGAUAAUAAAUUAUAUGAAUGGUAAGAUAAUAUGGUCCCU